AGAGAUUAGAAGCUGGGAAAUGGAGCCCACAAGGAAAGACUGAGUCCACGGACUGGGGAGCGCCGGGUAGAAUUGGAACAUCUCCCCCAGGGCGGAAGGAGAGCAGGAACAGCCCCAGCGGAACAGCCGUAGCCGGGCCAUCGUCCUCAGACUUGCAUCUCCCUGCAAGCGCCCGGGCCUUCCUGCCUGUCAGCCUUGCACUCGCAGCUCCCUCUGCCGGCCACACUCUUCCUCCCUCCUUUCUGGUCAAGUCCCGCUCAGCUCUGGGAUUACAGACAUGAACCAGUGUGCCCAGCCCCCUCCCAUUUUCCAGGGAGCCUGCUGCCGCCCAGCCUCCCUGGAGCUUGCUGUGCUGUUCAGGAGCAGGUACCUCAUAGCCUAUGGAAUGUUCUAGAAACGAGGCUGGCAUAUGUGUGAAGUUAGCUCAGCAGAGACAACCAGCAGAGAUGGGGUUUCACCAUGUUCAUCAGGCUGCUCUCGAAC